UACGGGGGGGGGCAAGCGUUGUUCGGAAUUACUGGGCGUAAAGGGCUCGUAGGCGGCCAACUAAGUCGGACGUGAAAUCCCCAGGCUCAACCUGGGAACUGCGUCCGAUACUGGAUGGCUUGAAUCCGGGAGAGGGAUGCAGAAUUCCAGGUGUAGCGGUGAAAUGCGUAGAUAUCUGGAGGAAUACCGGUGGCGAAGGCGGGUCUCUGGGCCGAUACUGACGCUGAGGAGCGAAAGCGUGGGGAGCGAACAGG
rnacentral:rRNA from 1 species